CAUUACCUAGAUAUGUAUUUCCAACCCGUUCUCAUCAGUCUGCGUAUAAAUAACACGACUUUACACUUUCUAUUUGCGUGUAAUGCAUACGCCAAAUGCCAUUUUUGCGUGCAUAUGAUACGCCAAUCCUUCCCAUUAAUUUCGGUGGAGAGCAGAUGCGUCCAAAUAACACGCAUCAUCUUCAGCGGCAGUGACGUCACUAGCGAGGCUCGUUCAGUUCACCUGAUGCGCGUACACCUUCAAACAGGUAAGCAAGGUUACGUCAGAUUACAUACUCCACAACAACCUGUAAUCCAGCAGAUCUUUAAAGAAGCCAUCUCUUGUAAAAUCUCUCUCUCUCUCUCUCUCUCUCUCUCUCUCUCUCUCUCUCUCGCUCUGCUAGAAUUAACAGGGAACUUCAACUCCACGCUCCCAAUGCUGAUAUUGAAGAAGCUGUCAAGGGGGCUGAACAAGUCCUUCAAAGGAUCAACCCUUCACAGGAAGGCCUGUCAUGAGAUUUGAAUUUGACCAUCUUGUGCAUUUAUGAAGAAGACCAAAAGCUGCAAAGGCAAACACUUCCAAUGGCAGAAACUGAGAGUUUGCAUGAUGGCAUUUUCUCAGACGCUGAAUCUGAUGUGUACAGAUGAACUCAGGAGCCUACUAGAGUUGCCAAGGAACUUGUGCUUGAACUGAAGACCAGAAACGCAAAGAAAAUCAGUCAAACCAGUCCUAAAGAAAUGAGGAAUGAACAUGGACUUCUUGUGCCCCAAAAGAAAAGACAGAAAGCUCCUAAAAUGAGCAAAUAAGCUGUGCAUCAUCUCUGUGAUUUGGGAAGGAAAUGACUGAAUAUGAUGAAGCCAAUUGAUGAAGAUAUCAAUUGAAUGGCCACCGAGUGCAUCACUGCUACCUGAACCCAUCAGUUAUCUUCUGUGAAGACUGCAUUCACAAACCGCUCUACUGCGACAGCUCAGAUGUUACGGCCUGUAAAAGUAAACAUCACAGCUAAACAACGAGAGCUAGUUGUGGUGGGAUUCUUUUGGCCAAUAUCCCCAACAAGAAUCAAUGACAUCUAGACCAGGUGGAGUGUGAGGAGGACCGUCAGAGACUCCAGCCAGCCGAGCCAUGGAUUGCUCUCACUGUUACCAUCAGGCAUGCGUUAUCACAGAACCUACACCAGCAGACAGUGAGACAAGUUCCUUUCACAGGCAAUCAGACUGAACUGAACUCAUACCAGUAAAACCAUACACACCCCACCAACCUCAUAUGCCCUGCACUCUUAUCAGUUAUGCUGACUGGACUAUUGGAUAUUAUUAUGCACCCUGACAUUCUGUUUGCACUAAUUCAUACCGUGCUUUACUGCAGAGAUGUAUGUGUACUGUGAUUAUUAUUGUUUUCAAUUCAUGCUCUUUGUAUAGCAUAAUUUUUAACAUAUAUUGUUCUCUACCUGAAUUGAGUCCCUUAUAUAUGUGUGUUGCAUAUAUAUAUAUUCAGAAUUUGUAUUUCAUAUAUAUUCAUGAAUUAAUUCAUUUGUCAUCCAUACUGUCACGCUGCAGUCUGCACCCAAGACUUUCAUCACCUGUAUACUUGUGUUCAUUGUAUUGUGACAAUAAAGAUAUUUGAUUUAAA